CCCUUAGAUGUUCUGGGCCGCACGCGCGCUACACUGACGAAGUCAGCGAGCAUGUCCUACGCCGACAGGUGCGGGGAAUCUUGUCAAACUUCGUCGUGAUGGGGAUUGAUUAUUGAAAUUCUUGAUCAUCAACGAGGAAUUCCUAGUAAGCGCAAGUCAGCAGCUUGCGUUGAUUACGUCCCUGCCCGUUGUACACACCGCCCGUCGCUACUACCGAUUGAAUGGUUUAGUGAGAUCUUCGGAUUGGCGCCACUGCGGCUCAGCAAUGGGCUCGGUGGAUGCCGAAAAGUUGAUCAAACUUGAUCAUUUAGAGGAAGUAAAAGUCGUAACA
rnacentral:rRNA from 1 species